AUCUCUCCCAUCUGCUCACAUAUGCACUUCGUCCCCAGAUCCAAAUCACGGAGAGGCGGUUAUUGGUCAUCGCAUACGCAGUUUGUAUUCGUUGCGCGUCGCGAAUAGAUUGCGAUCUAUUCCUAAGCUUUAAGGAAUCGACAGUCAAGUUUCACGACCAAGCGAACAAGCUCCUCGAGUUCCAUAAUGUUGAAGACCCUAAGCUUCUGUUUGGUGAAGGCAAGUGUCCUCUGACCUACUUAUAUCCUAUUCACAUUCAUUUCCCCGCAUUAUACAAUUAAAACAUAAGGAUUGACUAGCUUUCUAUUUACCUCAUCCUUGAUUAAUUUUUGGGUUAUUGUGGUUAGCUUUAUGCUAGCGCUCUACUUUAAUCAAUGAACAUGAUAAGAAUAUCUAUGAUACAUGAUGAUAUCUUGAUUAUGAUGAUGAACUUGUGUGAUUUUAGGGGACUCAGGCUGUUUCCCAAGUACCUCUCUGUAAGGACUUGUUCGCUGGAUGACCAUCUGGGAAAACAGUACAACCAUGAGGGUAGAAUGGGACGCCCUUAGCUGAUUAAUUGGAGGAACUUAGGGGUGUAGUUGGCUUCACCGUUGUGCUAUCAAUGGGGGCCGGGGUAUAGUGCUUGCUUUGCUAAGGGUUGGUGCCGAGGUUCAUUCGUUUCAGUUUUGUUAGUUACCCACCUUAGGGAGGAGUACUGUGUAUGUACGACUGGCAAAAACUAACGGACGACUACACACACGGGGAAUCUUUGUAAAGGCUACGUAGUGAUACCCUACCAUAUCACCUAGGUAGUGGUCAAUGAGGAUAAGUGCUCCUUGGACAGAAUGGGAAUCACGGCUCAUGGGUAAAGUGCGCGACCUCUGCAAAGGAUCGAAACUGAUAUAUCAGUAGUGCUGACGGUUAUGAGUGGCCUUGGGAGCUCCUUUGAUUAGAGAUGCAGAUGAUCUGAGAUACAAUGGUUCUAUUAAUGGUUUUUUGUUCGAUGAUGAUAAUGAUGUUCCUUGGUGAGGAAAUGAUUCACGGGUUGGUUAUUGCUAAAACUUGGCUUGUACUAAUAAUAAAUACCUAACAAACUAAAAGCAUCUGCUUUAAUCCUAAACACACAUAAAGCUAGUCCACCUCAGCCAAACGGGACAUUUGCAGAGUACGUUGAUGUGUACUCACCCUUGCUUUCACAAAACACCAUGUUGCCUUUGGUGCAAUGUAUGCUCAGGUAAAGAAGAAGAAGAAGGUGAUAAGGCGGACUUCUAGGAGUUCCAGGACUUCAAUGAGUUUGACGACCUCCCCCAGUCAGCUGUAUGUGGCGGGUUUAUUUACGUUGGUUACGUUUCUAUUAUGUGCACUUUGAUUUAUAUCAUGUAAAUGACUAUAGUCUGUAGUAUUAUUACUUAGUCUUUAUUAAUAUUCGAAGCAUUGUGCUAUGAUGAGUCAUUUAUGUAAUCGCUAUAUACGUGAGUUCU